AGUCAUCAACCGCUCCCGUUUGAAAGCGGGGGACGGGUUGGAUCUGGGGGCGUGCCGCUGCGAAGCGGCUCCCUUCAAAUGCAUCGGUUGGACCUGUGGGUCGAACUCGACUGGGCGUUGUAACAUCCUCGCUCUACCGAGAGGUUCCCCUUUGGCGUCCUCCCACGACCGCCUGCGGAGUGGCGGUCAACUUGCUUUGAAAU
rnacentral:misc_RNA from 1 species